rnacentral:rRNA from 1 species
UACGGGGGAGCAAGCGUUGUUCGGAUUUACUGGGCGUAAAGGGCGCGUAGGCGGCGCAACAAGUCACUUGUGAAAUCUCCGGGCUUAACCCGGAGCGGCCAAGUGAUACUGUCGUGCUAGAGUGCGGGAAGGGGCUACUGGAAUUCUCGGUGUAGCGGUGAAAUGCGUAGAUAUCGAGAGGAACACCUGCGGCGAAGGCGGGUAGCUGGGCCGACACUGACGCUGAGGCGCGAAAGCCAGGGGAGGCGAACGGG